rnacentral:lncRNA from 1 species
CUAAAUACCUCCUUUUAUUUUUCUCCCCAGUUUGCCUCCAUGACAAUGAAAUGUUCUUUCUUCUCGCAUCCCAGUUCAGCCACACACAGCACUAGCCUCCAAUUUUCUUUUAUUUUCUAGAGCACAGUCAGAUAAGAUUACAGGAAAGUCCACUGAUGUGUUGAAAGCAAGGUUACUUUUAUCAAAUUUUUCCGUCGUCUGGAAUCCAGUAGUGAUACCUCAUUAUAUGCCCACCAGGUAAAAUGCUGGGAAAAGGCAAGAAGCCUUUGGCCACCUUACGUGGAUCAAAACACAGGCUUUAACAACAAACUGGUUCUUGGCACUAAUUAAAGAAACAGGUAGAGGGUUAAAAAAAUGCCACAGGUUAUGCCAGCCCUCUUCACUUUGCCUCACUCACCAGAAUUCCACUAAGGUUCAUCAAAUGAUGUCUUCUCUGAAUGCAUUUGUUUUAUCUCUGAAAUGAGUGUGUGUGGUCUUGCGCUGGCCAAUAGGGGUUGGUGAGAGGCUGGUUCCUUCCCACUGAGGUGGGUCCGAGCGACUCCAGAGCAUCCUUGGUGCCUCCCUGUCCUUCCCAGCCCUCGUCUAAGCUGCUUCCCUCCUCCUAACAUCACGCCAGCCUGCCUUCCCAUGAGCAUGGGCAGACGGGCUGAGACAGGCUGAGUGCGCUGGUGAAAUGAUGCCGAGUCUUUAUUUCAACCCCUUCUGCAGUGCUGGCCAACUGGCAAAAAUAAUGGGUAACAGAGAAAUGGCAAAAAAAAAAAAAAAAGAAAUAUGGGCUGAAAGCAGACCAAGGCUUUGAGUAGUUUCUUUUUUUUUAAUCUAAAUGGGAGCCAUUAUCUCUUGGCUGCGAGCACAGCAUGAAGGAAAAUAAUUAAAGCACUGCAACGUUAAUAGUUGUGUGAUUUUAAGCACAAGAACAUUAUGUCACAUGCUUUACGACUGCC